AACGAACGCUGGCGGCAUGCCUAACACAUGCAAGUCGAACGAGACCUUCGGGUCUAGUGGCGCACGGGUGCGUAACGCGUGGGAACCUGCCCUUAGGUUCGGAAUAACUCCCCGAAAGGGGUGCUAAUACCGGAUAAUGUCUUCGGACCAAAGAUUUAUCGCCUUUGGAUGGGCCCGCGUUGGAUUAGCUAGUUGGUAGGGUAAAAGCCUACCAAGGCGACGAUCCAUAGCUGGUCUGAGAGGAUGAUCAGCCACACUGGGACUGAGACGCGGCCCAGACUCCUACGGGAGGCAGCAGUGGGGAAUAUUGGACAAUGGGCGAAAGCCUGAUCCAGCAAUGCCGCGUGAGUGAUGAAGGCCUUAGGGUUGUAAAGCUCUUUUACCCUGGAAGAUAAUGACAGUACCGGGAGAAUAAGCUCCGGCUAACUCCGUG
rnacentral:rRNA from 1 species